rnacentral:lncRNA from 1 species
GUGUUUGGAGCUGGAGACGGCCUGGGUGCUGGCGAAGCGGAGGCCGGAGGUGAGUGGUUCCCCCGCCCUACCUCCGAAGCGGCCGCAGAAAAGCGGGGAGAGAGGGGUGCCCUUGGGCCGUAGCGGGGCCCGAAUGCACUUCUGCGGCGCGGAGGCGCUCCCGCCAGGCUUCGCCGCAGCGCGGACCUCUUCCCGUUGCUCUUCCUCCCGCCACACGGGUCUGUUCGCUCCGGGGGCGAGGAAGAUGACCUCUGCCUAGUCCGGGCAACCCCAGCUCUUCUUCCACUCUCCUGUGUAGCCUCUGAAGCGCAGUUACCGGCCCCACCCCCAGUUCCCUGCGUUUUCCUCGCCCCUUGUCUCUCUCGGCAUGGUCUCGGCACAGCAAGUAAGAAGACUGUUAGAAUGCCCUCGGUAACACAGAGGCUGAGAGAUCCUGACAUAAAUCCUUGUUUGUCGGAAUCUGAUGCUUCCACCAGAUGUCUGGAUGAAAAUAACUAUGACAGGGAAAGGUGUUCCACUUACUUCUUGAGGUACAA